AUUGAACGCUGGCGGCAGGCCUAACACAUGCAAGUCGAACGAGUGGCGGACGGGUGAGUAAUGUCUGGGAAACUGCCUGGUGGAGGGGGAUAACUACUGGAAACGGUAGCUAAUACCGCAUACCCUCAGGUGUGCCCAGAGGGGAUUAGGUUGUGGGUGGGGUAACGGCUCACCAAGGCUAAGAUCACUAGCUGGUCUGAGAGGGUGACCAGCCACACUGGAACUGAGACACGGUCCAGACUCCUACGGGAGGCAGCCGUGGGGCAUAUGGCAGAAUGGGGGCAAGCCUGAUGCAGCCAUGCCGCGUGUAUGAAGAAGGCCUUCGGGUUGUAAAGUACUUUCAGCGGGGAGGCGUUACCCGCAGAAGAAGCACCGGCUAACUCCGUGCCAGCCGCCGCGGUAAUUC
rnacentral:rRNA from 1 species